UAACUAUGAACAGGUGAAUUAUACGGGAAGUUGGCCAAAUGACUUGUAUGGAAGCACCUACAAUCAAGAGUGGAGCACUCAUUCACCCUUUGGAUGGAGCUUAGAUGGCCAAGAACCACUAGGAUUUUAGCAACUACAUCAGCAGCCUAAUCUUACACCAUCAACUUAAGAUGAAGAGUUAGUGUCAGAGGAGCUGAUGAUGAGGUUCAUUGCAAGUUUUGAUGAUAG
rnacentral:lncRNA from 1 species